UGCCGCCGUAGGGGAGCUGGAGUCCCCGCCUCGUUGUCAGCGAGGAGAUCGCGGGUUCGAACCCCGCCGGUGGCGU
rnacentral:tRNA from 1 species